rnacentral:antisense_RNA from 1 species
AAAUAUUAACAGCAACUUAUAUGUACUUCCCCACUUGUUGCUCCAAGAGAUUUACAGAUACUACUUUGAAAACAAGAUGAAAGCCACGGAAUCUCCCCCUGAGAAAAAUGUACAUCUUACAGACUUUCAGUGAGUUCUGGAAUACCAGGAACCAGAGCCCACACUAAUGAACAGCAGUUUCCUAACCUAAUGAGAGAGAUUUGAGAUUUCUUCUGGCUCCCAUGAUCUUCUAAUUGUCUUCUUAGCAAGACUAAACACAUCUCCAAGAAAUGUGCACUGCCAUGAAUGUCUUCCAGCUAUCUUCUAUGACAGCACUUCCCAGUGUGUUCUGUGGAAUAAUGGUACAGGGUGAUGUUCUAUGAAGAAAAAUACGGAAAGUAAUAUAUUCCACAGUCCGUAUAUUAGAUCGGACUAAUAAAAAUAAAUAUGGAAAGUAA